AACGAACGCUGGCGGCAGGCCUAACACAUGCAAGUCGAACGAGAUCUUCGGAUCUAGUGGCGGACGGGUGAGUAACGCGUGGGAACGUGCCCUUUGGUUCGGAAUAGCCUCGGGAAACUGGGAGUAAUACCGGAUACGCCCUUCGGGGGAAAGAUUUAUCGCCAAAGGAUCGGCCCGCGUUGGAUUAGGUAGUUGGUGGAGUAACGGCCUACCAAGCCGACGAUCCAUAGCUGGUUUGAGAGGAUGAUCAUCCACACUGGGACUGAGACACGGCCCAGACUCCUACGGGAGGCAGCAGUGGGGAAUCUUAGACAAUGGGGGCAACCCUGAUCUAGCCAUGCCGCGUGAUCGAUGAAGGCCUUAGGGUUGUAAAGAUCUUUCAGCUGGGAAGAUAAUGACUGUACCAGCAGAAGAAGCCCCGGCUAACUCCGUGCCAGCAGCCGCAGUAAUAC
rnacentral:rRNA from 1 species